rnacentral:rRNA from 1 species
UCCACAAUUCCCACUAGAGAUUGGCCCUCGAGUGCAAAGGCAGAAUGGAGAUUGACUACAAGACCCACCCAUCAAAUAAGACGAAAGUCAGUCUUAGU